UCUGCUUGUCUCAAAAGCCGCUCAUGGUCCACCGCAGAUGGACGGUACGAGUCCAGACGGUAAGAAGAAUCAGGUGGCAGUACUGGAUAAUGCUGAGCUGGUUCUGCUCUUCUCAAGCCGUAUGUUCGGUACUCGCUUUCAGUGAGGUAUAGAUCACGGGGUGGUUCUUCUCUGCGUGGUGGCUCUUCUCUGCGUGGAGGAGGUGCAGCAUUGCGACUCCUUACAUGACUUCUGCUGCUGCCAGGAACAUAGCGGUCAUUGUCAGAUCUUUUCCUCUCAGCAGGACGAGGAACAGGGGCUGGCAGAGUGUGAGUCAAUUGAGCAGCUGGUCGGAAAAGCUUUGUAAGCUUGAAUACCUUCAAGAACAGAGAGAUGAAUGAAAUAUCUGCUGAUACGAACUUAAGGGGAAAUUGAUGGUUUUACCUGUUUACGCGUAAGUUCUGUUUUGAACUUGUUUCUGUUGUUGUAGUUCUCCUUGAUUGCUUUCUUGAAUUCGCUCUCAGGCAACGGUAUACAAUCACUAACCACCUUGAACCGCACCUGAGAUGUGAAUACACAAUAUCAUCAAACUGAUCCAUAAGCUAAUAAAAUUCCAACAAAAAGAAUACCAUCAGCAAAGACUAGUUGUAUAAAUUGGAAGUGGCUAGCAAGCAUAUGUGUGAAACACGAAGUUACCUGAGCGGGAAAGGAUCCACCAAAAGCAUUGCGCUCAAGUUUCAUCCCACCCGCAGAGGAAGCUUGGAAAACUCCAUAGAGGAGUUUGAGAUCAUAGUCAUAAAGAAAAAGCUUAACCCCGGGCUUGAUACUCAUCACAUAGUCCUUCCUCUUCUCUUGUACGCCCAUCACACUGAACCGAAAACAAUCGGGCCUAGUUUUGGCGUUGCACAUGAAGAUCAAACCGACCACUCGAACCCCCUUUCAAUGACGCCAUCUCCGCCUACUACGAAACUCGAGCGGCGCAUCACGGUGUCACUACAAGCGGCUAGCUCACUCAGGCUCAAGCAUCCGUGGAGUAGCCUACGUCAUCCAUGUCUGAUCUCGGGAAUGAGAAGCCGUUUAAUGUAAUUGAUGAGUUCAACGGCUGAAGAAAACAGUCGGAUUUCGCGGAAGCCGUCGCAGCUACCCGAGCUGCUGUUAUUCGUGGGAGUGAGGCUUCCGAUACACUAAAUGUGAACUUCACUGUAGAAAAGAUUUGAUCUUUAUCAUCUAUCUAUUCUAUGGUGAUGGCAAAAGACAACUUGGUGUUCUGUUUCGGUUUUGUUAUUAGUCAUGGGACAAAACUAACUUUGCAACUUAAGACUUCGCUGUAGAGACGUCGUCGAGGGUGACGUUAGUGAAGAAGAAGAAGAAAAGCACAUAAAAAAUGAUAAUUUAAGAAAAAAAGAAACAUGUUAUAAAAAGAACUGAAAUUUAUUUGUAUCGCAGGAAUUUAAAUAAGGGCAAAAUUUUAUACCCGUAGAAAGAAACAACAUUGAUACAGAGAGAGAAUAGAAUAGAAGUGUUUUUUAGGUGUGCCUUAUAAACGAACGCAAACGUUCGUAUAUAUAGAAGAAAAUUUACUGUGCAAAUAGUGCAGCGGGACCCACAUCUUUAAUUAUUUCAAACAUUACGGUGGCCGCUUUUGUUUACUUUCGUAACACUCCCCCUUGGGGGCCGGUGUCACUAUCCGCUCUCGCUUAACGUCUUUGUUGCCUCGUUAAAAACCUUUCCAGGAAAACCCAAUGGGAAAAACCAUGGUAAGGUAAAAAGAGUACAACUACGUAAGCUCCCCCUCGAAUGAACAGUCAUAGAUCCUUCUGAUGGCGCAUCCCAAUGUUAUGGAUGUGUUUUCUGAAUACCGAGGUAGGGAGUGAUUUUGUGAAGAGGUCGGCUGCAUUGUCGCAUGAUCGAACAUAUCUUACUUCAAUCUCCUUAUUCUUCUCGAGCUCUUGAGUGUAUGAGAAGAACUUCGGAGGUAUAUGUUUGGUUCUAUCGCUUUUGAUAUAUCCUUCCUUCGUUUGAGCAACACAUGCCGCGUUAUCUUCAUAUAGAAUAGUUGGCUCCGCAUUUUCGUCAAUCCCACUGCUUGAACAGAUGUGUCGGCUUAUUGAUCUUAGCCAUACACAUUCUCUACUUGCUUCAUGGAGUGCAAUGAUCUCAGCGUGAUUUGAAGAAGUAGCAACAAGUGUCUGCUUCUGAGAACGCCAAGAUAUGGCGGUGCCUCCAGUUGUAAAAACAUAUCCUGUCUGGGAUCGAGCUUUGUGUGGAUCUGACAAAUAACCUGCAUCUGCAAAACCAAUCAUUUGACCUUUUGAACUUUUAGGAUAAAACAAGCCUAAAUCAGUUGUUCCUUGAAGGUAACGAAAGACAUGUUUAAUUCCAUUCCAAUGUCUUCGCGUAGGAGACGAACUGAAUCUCGCUAAAAGAUUAAUGGCAAAAGAUAUGUCAGGUCGAGUGCAAUUUGCAAGAUACAUAAGAGCUCCAAUUGCACUUAAGUAUGGAGUUUCAGGACCAAGUAUUUCUUCAUUUUCCUCAGAUGGUCGAAACGGAUCAUUUUCAACAUUAAGUGAUCUAACGACCAUCGGGGUGCUAAGAGGAGUUGAUUUAUCCAUGUUAAAGUGUUUCAAUACUCGUUUGGUAUAUGUAGACUGGUGUACAAAUAUACCCUUUCGAGAAUGCUCAAUUUGUAAUCCUAGACAAUAUUUUGUCUGGCCGAGAUCUUUCAUCUCAAAUUCUCCUUUCAGAUAGUUUGAUGCCUUUUGGAUUUCGUUUUGAGUUCCAAUAAUAUUAAGAUCAUCAACGUACACCGCGAUUAUCACAAAUCCGGAUGUUGUUUUCUUUAUGAAAACACAAGGGCAUAUAGGAUCAUUCGUGUAUCCUUCUUUUGUUAAGUGUUCACUGAGACGAUUGUACCACAUUCGUCCAGAUUGUUUUAACCCAUAUAAUGAUCUUUGCAAUUUUAUUGCACAUAACUCUUUAGGUUUGGAACUUAACGUUUCUGGCAUUUUAAAUCCAUCUGGGACUCUCAUAUAGAUAUCAAUAUCUAAUGAUCCAUAUAAAUAUGCCGUAACGACAUCCAUGAGACGCAUUUCUAAAUUUUCAUUGGCCGCUAGGCUCAUCAGGAAUCUAAAUGUGAUUGCGUCCAUGACAGGAGAAUAAGUUUCCUCAUAAUCAAUUCCUGGCCUUUGAGAGAAACCUUGGGCUACGAGACGAGCUUUGUAUCUUGUAAUCUCGUUUUUCUCAUUUCUUUUUCGGACAAACACCCAUUUGUACCCAACUGGUUUUACAUCUUUGGGUGUGAGCACAAUAGGUCCGAAUACAUUUCGUUUGUUAAGCGAAUCUAAUUCGACUUGAAUUGCAUCUUUCCAUUUUAUCCAGUCAUGUCUCUUUUGACAUUCAUAUACAGACUUUGGUUCUGGAUCUUCGUUUUCUUCAUUUAUUUUCUUUGCUAAAAGGUAUGAGAAAACGUCAUCAAUAUCAUCCAUCUCAUUUCGUUUCCAUAUCUUUCCAUUAUGGAUGUAAUUGAUAGAAAUCUCAUGAUUUCUUUCAGAUUCAAGAUGCUUUAUAUUGUCAUUAGAUUCACAAUUUUCUUCGUCCAAAAUAUUUUCUGUUAUUUUGGGAGUAUCAUGCUUUUCACAUUCCUUACGUUUUCUAGGAAGUUUAUCCUUUGAACCAAUAGGUCUACCGCGCUUUAAACGUGUUCCUGAUUCACGUGUAUCAACUGCCGUUCCACCAUUUUGUGGUAUUUCAAUACGAGCAGGAGUAUUUGCAGCGGGUAUAUGUGAUUUAGUUACCAUUUUGGUAUCAGCAAAUGCAUCUGGUAGCUGAUUUGCUAUAUUUUGUAAAUGCAUGAUACGUCGAACUUCUAGUUCUGACUGUUUCGUAGGAGGAUCAAGGUGUAAUAACGAUGGUACACUCCAUUUGAUCUCUUUUCCUACUUGUUUAUUGUCUCCCCCUAGAGUUGGGAAUUCUUUCUCAUUGAAAUGACAAUCGGCAAAUCGUGCCGUAAACACAUCACCAGUUUGUGGUUCUAGGUAUCUUAUUAUUGAUGGAGAAUCAUAGCCAAUAUAUAUUCCCAACCGUCUUUGCGGUCCCAUCUUUGUACGUUGCGGUGGUGCUAUUGGAAUAUAAACCGCACAACCAAAGAUUUUUAGAUGAGAGAUAUUUGGUUCUUUUCCAAAUGCUAACUGUAAUGGGGAAUAUCUAUGGUAUGCACUUGGUCUUAUCCGAAUUAGUGCUUCUGCAUGCAAAAUAGCAUGUCCCCAUACAGAUGUUGGGAGUUUUGAUCUCAUGAUCAAUGGCCUUGCAAUUAGUUGCAGCCGUUUAAUUAAUGAUUCUGCCAAACCAUUUUGUGUAUGAACAUGAGCAACAGAAUGCUCUACUUCAAUCCCUGAUACCAUACAAUAAUCAUUAAAAGCUUGGGAUGUGAAUUCACCAGCGUUAUCUAAUCUAACUCUUUUAAUUGGAUAAUCUGAGAGCUGUGCUCUUAAUUUGAUUAUCUGAGUUAGAAAUCUCGCAAAUGCCAUAUUUCGAGAUGAUAACAAACAAACAUGUGACCAUCUACUCGAUGCAUCGAUUAAUACCAUAAAGUAGUAGAAUGGUCCACACGGUGGAUGUAUUGGUCCACAAAUAUCACCUUGGAUUCUUUCCAAAAACUUUGGUGAUUCUUUGUCAAUUUUUGUUGGUGAUGGUCUUAUGAUUAAUUUCCCAAGAGCACAUGCAUCACAUGUCAUUUUAUUACUUUGGUAUAUAUCUUGGGUUUUUAUUGAAUGACCAUGUGAGCUUUCAAUGAUUUUUCGCAUCAUUGUAGUGCCUGGAUGACCAAGGCGAUCAUGCCAUAAUGUAACAUCUUCUGGAUUUCUUUUUAUCACAAGAUGUGAUUCUAUAGCAUCAAUAUAAGUGUGAUGCAAUCCAGAAGGAAGUUCUGGAAAUUUUUCCAGUACAAGGCCUUUGCCUGAUUUUUCAGAAGUUAUAUACAAAUACUUCUUUCCAUUCUCAGUUGCAGACUGAGUGUUAUACCCUUGACGGUAUAUAUCUUUGAAACUCAACAAAUUUCUCUUAGAAUUUGGAGAAUAUAAGGCAUUAUCUAUGGAAAACUUUGUUCCAUUAGGCAACAUAAAGUUCGCCUUGCCAAUUCCUUCGAUCAGGUCUGUAGGACCUGAUAUUGUGUUUAUAGUCAUUUUUACUGACUUUAAAGUAGAGAAAUAUCCCUUAUCCUUCAGUAUAGUGUGCGUUGUGCCACUAUCUGGUAUGCAAACUUCUCUACCAAUUUGUUUAGUUGUUGUUCCAUUUGCUUUCUUAUCCAUUUCUGUAACACACAGUUAAUAUCAAUAAAGAAAAUAAACUUUCAUAAGUAAACAUAUUAUUCAUCAAUAACAAGUACACAAUAAUUAUACAUUAGAUAUUUUGAAAUACAACAUUAUUUUGAAAGUGAAAUACAUAAUAUUUUAUGGCAUCACUAGGCAUUAUUAAGCUUGAUCAGUACAAGCACUUCAAAUAUUUUGAUGAGUGGCCUCGUCGAAAUCUCCCAUAAAGUCAGAGGAUUCGAGGUAUGUCGAUGUUGUACCCACAAGGUGUUCAUUGAGAUUUACUUCCUUUGCCUUGCCUUUAAUAGAUUCUUGGUACAAUUGGCAUAGAUGCCGAGGAGUUCGACAUACUUGAGACCAGUGUCCCUUCGAUCCACAUCUGUAACAGACGUUCUCAUUUUUAUGAGUAGGGUUUUCUUGGGUUUCUUUCCCUUUUACCCGAUCAGAUCGAUUCCAUGUGUUGGAUCCCCUUCCUCUUGGGUUGUUACUCCUUUCAUGGUUGCGGUUAAAUCGAUAACCACGACCACGACCAAAACCACGAUUGUGACCACGGCCACGACCACGCCCACGAUAGGAAUAAUUUCCUUUUUCCGGAUUUUUUAUAUCCGUUGCAUUUACCUCAGGAAAUGCUUUGGUUCCCGUGGGUCGGGCGUUGUGGUUUUUAAUGAGGAGUUCAUUAUUUCUCUCCGCUAUUAUAAGCGCCACAGCGAGUUCAGAGAACCUCGUAUACCCACAAUUUCUAUAUUGUUCCUGUAGAACAUAAUGAUUUUUGUGGAACGUUUGGUAAGUUUUCUCGAGCAUUUCUGCUUCUGAGACAGGCUUACCGCAAUAAUCUAAUUGCGCCGCUAUUCUCAAUAUAGCGGAAUUGUACGUUUCCACUUUUUCAAAAUCUUGAAAUCGUAGAUUUUUCCACUCAUCGAGUGCAUGGGGGAGAGUAAUUUUCUUUUGGUUAUCAAACCUCUCCUUCAGAGCUUUCCAAAGAUCUAAGGGAUCUUUGGUUCUCGCAUAAUCAUGCGUAAGAUUUUCAUCUAGAUGCCUUCUCAGAAAUAUCACGGCCUUAGCCUUUUCAUGAGAGGUUGAUAUAUUGCCUUCUCUUAUUGUUUCGAGUAUUUUCUCGGAAUCUAGAUGAAGCUCCAUGUUUGUGACCCAUGCCGUGUAGUUUGUGCCAGUUACUUCCAAUGCCGGAAACUGAAGUUUCUCGAUUUUUGCCAUUUGAAUUUCUAAAGCACAUAAAUAAAAAUUAUUAGAAUUUUAUUAAUAUUAAAAAGAACCGUUUACAUUAAUCAUGCAAGCAAUUACAAGGAGAAGCGAUGUAAAGAAAAUUAAACCGAUAUUCAUAUUAAAUUCACUCGGAGUAAAUUCUCCAACGAAUAAACCAUAAAUAGAAACACAAAUGAAAAUGGCACAUAAAAACAAAAGUGCGCGAAUCAUCUUUCUUGAAAUAAAAAAUCGGAGGAGAGCGAUUUGAAAUUUUUGAGAGAAGAUGAAAUAUUUUGGAUGAUGAAAUGGAGUGAAAAUGAGUUGUAUUUAUAGAUGAAAAACACUGUUCAUAACCGUUGGAGAAAGGGAAAAUUUUGAAAAAAAUUUCUUUGUGACCGUUGGGGUUAAAUCGAGUGCACUAAAAAUCAGUCUGAAAAUAUCGUACUAAACGGUCGAUCAAAUCUAUAAAAUUUCAUAAAAGUAAAAAUUAUGGCUAUGAAAUAUUUAUGUUAUAACAACAAAUCAUGCGACGGCUCAGCCGAUCAAUGCAGAGUAAUAAAUAAAUUAUACGGCGGCUCGGCCGACCAAUUAAUAAUAAACAGAAUAUAAGGCGGCUCAGCCGACCAAUAAAUAAUAAACAGAAUAUAAGGCGGCUCGGCCGACCAUUAAUAAAUUAAAUUAUUAGUAAAUAAUAUAGGCGGUAUUCCGGCCAUUAUAACAUAAUAUAAAUAAUAGUAGAGGCGGUAUACCGACCAUUAUAACAGGGUAUAAAUGAUACAAAUAAAUUUUACCGAAUCGCAGAGUGAUCGUGCUGAUAACGUGUUAUAAAAAGAACUGGAAUUUAUUUGUAUCGCAGGAAUUUAAAUAAGGGCAAAAUUUUAUACCCGUAGAAAGAAACAACACUGAUACAGAGAGAGAAUAGAAUAGAAGUGUUUUUUAGGUGUGCCUUAUAAACGAACGCAAACGUUCGUAUAUAUAGAAGAAAAUUUACUGUGCAAAUAGUGCAGCGGGACCCACAUCUUUAAUUAUUUCAAACAUUACGGUGGCCGCUUUUGUUUACUUUCGUAACAAAACAUUAUAUAUGAAAAUUUGAUUUUUUUUUCUUGGUUUAAUUGAUCUUAAAUUGUUUGGUUAAGAGUAAACGGAUUAAAACUAGUAAACCGAUUAAAACCAUUGGUUUAUAGGUAAUCAAGUUUUGAACUAUUAAUUUAAGGAUAAAUAAAUUUGUAAAUUUCAUUUCGUGGAGAUUUAGCAAGAGUGCAUAGUUUAAUGAGGAUGUGAUGUUAUAUGAUACUUCAUUUGUUCUGAUAUGUAAGAUAUUUUGGGUAGUACACACUUAUUAAGAAAACUACUUUUUACCUAGAAAGUAUCAUUAAAAUUAUAAACUAAAAACUACUUAACCAAUUACAAAAUAGAACUAUUACAUUUGAUUGGCUACACAGUUUUUGAUAAACUUAAAAUUACAUAGAAAGAUGAGAACAUCUUAUAUAUUGGAACAUAAAAAUUAUUAUAAACAUCUUACAUUUCAGAACAGAGGAAAUAGUUAUUAUGGGAAAAUAAACCAUCUGUUAAGAUUUGAGAGAAGGUUUGUGAGAAUGUGUUGUAUAUUUCUUAUUGCUUACACCACUAUAUAUAGUGGUUCAUACAAGGUAUAGUCAAAGGGAUAAUUGAUUACAAAGAUACUCUACAUAAUAACAUGGUCAAACUCAUAAAGACUAAGGUUGAAUGAGUCUUCCAUGUGGCUGGAUGUAAACCUCCAAUGGACUCUAGUCUUGAACUUGUAUGGUCUAGGUUAUGGAUCAUCCACUUCAUGAUUCAUAAUACUCCCCCUUGGAUGUCGUAACCAUAUAAGGCUUGUAACAUGCUAAUGUUGCCUCAUUAAAACCUCUCCCGGAAAACCCAAAACCCAAUGUGGUAAAAGGAAAACCAGAGAAAGGAAAAAGAGUACAACACACAUUACUCCCCCUGAUUUGGACAUCACUGAAGGUCCUUGAGUCUUCGCAUGCCAAUCUGCUGCGUGAGCUUCCUGAAUGUGCAGGUGGGAAAUGACUUGGUGAAGAGGUCGGCUGAGUUCUCACUAGACCGGAUCUGAAGGACGUUGACCUCUCCAGCUUUCUGCAACUCAUGAGUAAAGAAGAACUUGGUUAGAAUAUGUUUGGUUCGGUCACCUUUGAUAUAUCCGUCUUUGAGUUGAGCAAUGUAAGCAGCAUUAUCUUCAUAUAUGAUGGUCGGACCAUUGUCCUUGACCAUUCCACUAUCUGAUCGGAUGUGUUGGGUCAUAGACCUCAACCAUACACACUCACGACUUGCCUCAUGCAUGGCAAGAAUUUCUGAGUGAUUAGAUGAAGUGGCUGCUAUAGUUUGUUUCAUGGAACACCAUGAUAUAGCAGUACCACCAUAAGUGAACACAUAACCAGUUUGGGACCGACCAUGGUGUGGAUCAGAUAAGUAGCCUGCAUCUGCAAAGCCUACCAAACCAUCUUUGGUUUCAUCUGGUCUAGUGUGGCUAGCCAAAUACAUUAAUGCUCCUAUGGCACUGAGGUAUGGCACUGCUGGACCCAGGACAUCCUCAUCGUCCUUCUUAGGACUGAAUGGGUCCGUGUCCAAAUCAAGGGACCUCACGACCAUUGGGCUGGUCAAUGGGUGAGCCUGGUCCAUAUAAAAUCUCUUGAGUACUUUUUCAGUAUAUGCCAUUUGAUGCACAAGGAUUCCUCCUUUCAUGUACUCAAGUUGCAACCCCAAACAGACUUUGGUUUUACCUAGGUCUUUCAUUUCAAACUCUUUCUUGAGAUAUUCAACUGUUUGGGCGAUUUCCCCAGAGGUUCCAAUGAUGUUCAAACCAUCAACAUACAUUGCUAUGAUAACAAAUCCAUUGUUUGCAAACUUCUUUAUAAAGAUACAUGGACUGAUAGGGUCGUUCUUAUAACCUACUUUGGCAAGGUAUUCGCUUAAACGAUUAUACCACAUUUGACCACUUUGCUUAAGUCCAUAUAAGGAUUUGUUCAGCCUUAUGCAGUGUUCUUCUCGAGAACCUUUGUUAGCUUUAAGCUCAAUACCCUAUGGUAAUCUCAUAUAUAUUUCAUUAUCCAGUGGACCAUAAAGGUAUGCGGUUACAACAUCCAUCAACCGCAUAUCCAAAUUUUCUUUGAUGGCCAGAUUUAUUAAAAGCGAAAUGUAGUUGCAUCCACCACAGGGGAGUAUGUCUCCUCAUAAUCGAUGCCUGGUAUUUGUGAGAAUCCUUGUGCUACAAGCCGUGCUUUGUAUCUUACAAUUUCACCAUGUUCAUUUCUCUUCCUCACAAAUACCCACUUAUAUCCCACUGGAUUAAUGUUAGAAGGCGUCAGGAUAAUUGAUCCAAAGACAUUCCUUUUCUUUAAUGAUUCUAACUCCACGUUUAUGGCUUCUUUCCAUUUGAGCCAAUCAGAUCUUUGAGUGCACUCUAGAAUAGACGUGGGUUCAUGAUCCUCAUUUAAGUCCAUCAUAUCAAGGGCUACUUUAUAAGCAAAUAUAUUAUCGAUGUCGACAUCUUUUCGGUUCCAUCUUGUCCCAGACAUAAGAUAAUUAAUUGAGAUCUCAUCAUUAGCACCUUCAGUACCAUGAGGCUCGGCGUCCCGAGUCUCAUUGGUUGGUACCUUAGGCAUGGCCAUUUCGGCCUUGUCUAGACAAUCUAUGACCUCGGUUUCUUUUGCACCUUUCUUUAAUUUCCGAGGUCCUUUAUCUUUGGAACCAAUUGGUCUACCAUAUUUGAGACGUGCUUUAGACUCUGUAGCCACUUGAUUGUGUCCAUCAUGGACAUCAAUACUUAUUGGUGCAUUACAAGCUGGUAUAUAGGACUUAGUCACUCUUUUCGGGUCAGCAAAGGAAUCAGGCAAUUGAUUAGCUAGCUUUUGCAAAUGAAUUAUUUUCUGGACCUCUAAAUCACAUGAUUGAGUCCGAGGAUCUUGCCAUGAUAGGGAUGUUUGAUUCCAUUUUAUUGCUUUGCCCAGCUUGUUAUUCUCUCCCCCUAAUGUUGGAUACUCAGAUUCAUCAAAAUGACAAUCUGCAUAUCUGGCCUUAAACAAAUCUCCUGUUGUUGGCUCAAGAUAUUUAAUAAUGGUGGGAGAGUCAAAUCCAACAUAUAUUCCCAUCCUCCUUUGAGGUCUCAUUUUUGUUCUCUGUGGUGGUGCAAUAGGAACAUACACAGAACAUCCAAAUGUUUUGAUAUGGGACACGUCUGGCUCAUGACCCGAGAGUAAUUGGGGUAGAGAAUAUUUGUGUUCACUAGAUGGCCUUAUGCGUAUCAAUUCAGCAGCAUGUAAUACCGCAUGUCCCCAAGCUGAUACUGGAAGCUUCGACCUCAUGAGUAAUGGUCGAGCUAUGAGUUGGAUUCUUUUAAUGAAGGAUUCGGCCAAUCCAUUCUGUGUAUGUACAUGUGCCACAGAGUGUUCCACACUUACCCCCAUGGACAUACAGUAAUCAUUAAAAGCUUGGGAAUUGAAUUCAUUAGCAUUGUCAAGACGAAUAGUUUUAAGUGGAAAAUCUGGAAAGUAGGCUCUCAGUCUUAUGAUCUGGGCCAGUAAUCUAGCAAAUGUCAGGUUUCUAGUGGAUAAUAAACAAACAUGCGACCAUCUGGUCGAUGCAUCAAUGAGGACCAUAAAAUAUUGAAAUGUCCCACAAGGUGGGUGUAUUGGUCCACAUAUAUCGCCUUGAAUCGUUUCCAGAAAGUUUAAUGUUUCCUUAACCACCUUUACAAGUGAUGGCCUUAUUAUUAAUUUCCCUUGUGAGCAUGGAACACAUGGGAAGCUCUUAGGGAGAAUUUUCCUAUCUUUCAAGGAAUGGCCAGUUGAAUUCAAGAGUAUUUUACGCAUCAUAGCCGAACCAGGAUGGCCGAGCCUGUCGUGCCAGUGGUUAAAGGCUUCUCUGAACUCUUUAGUCAUUGUGACAUUAACCUCGAUCAAGUUUAUAUGGGCACAAUAAAGGCCCAUAGAUAUAGCAGGGAUAGUCUCUAGGACUUUCUUAUGGCCUUGGGCAUUUUCAUAAAUCAAAACGAAUUCUUUCUUUCCCUCGCCCUUAGUUUCAACAUGUAGACCAUUCAUACGAAUGUCUUUGAAACUUAACAAAUUUUUCUUUGAUUUAGGAGAACAUAAUGCAUCAGAAAUUUCUAGAUGCGUGCCAUUAGGCAUCAUUAAGUGGGCCUGGCCAUGGCCUUCAAUAAGACUGCAUGUGCCUGCUAUAGUAUUGAUAUUGGCACUUCUUAGGGUGAGGUUAACAAAAUAUCUUUUGUCUUUUAAUAUAGUGUGGCUUGAUCCACUAUCCACCACUAGCAUGUUCUUGUCUUCUUUCAUUUCUAAAAAAUAGACAAGGAUCAUCAUCUUAGACAUUUCUUAAGUAUAAGAAUGUUUUAUUUGGCUUUGUUUAAAUGUUCUUAGGAAGUUUAACUGGAUAUAUAAAAUCAAAUUUAUUUCAUAGACAGAACUUUAUUUCAAAGUAGUAGAACAAAAACAUAAAGCCAAAGGGAAAUGCAAAGACAAAAGCAACAUGAUGUCAAAAUCUUAAUUGGCCUCUUUAAGGAUAUAUGAAGUCUCAAAUUCAGUCUGAUCAUCAUUGUCAUGGGCUUGAACAUCCUCAUGAUCGAGAUCAUUCUCAUCAUCAUGAUGGACCCAAUGGGCCACAGGGUUCUUUCCCUUUAUGCUCUCCUGGAAGAGUUUAACAAGAUGACUGGGAGUUUUGCAUCGGUUGGCCCAAUGAUUGGUCAUCCCACACCGAUGGCAAGAAGAUUUGGUCGAGCCAUGGGUUUUGAAGUCGGACUUAUACCCACGGCUAGGUUGAUACCCUCGGCCAUUACCUCGGCCAUAUCCUCGGCCUCGGCUACGACCAAGGUGUUCACGUGGUUGAAACCCACGGUCACGUGGUUAAAACCCACGGUUACGACCUUGCCAUCUUCCACGGCCUCUCAUACGGCCAUGGUUUGACUCUUUCUUUGGAGACUCAUCUUUUGGCUCUAUGGCCGCAUGUGCCUCAGGUAAUGCCGUAGCACCAGGAGGCCUCAUCUCACUAUUCCUCAUGAGUAACUCAUUGUUUUGCUCAGCCAGCAACAAACAAGAGAUCAAAUUUGCAUAGGUGGAGAAACCCUUUUCUCGGUAUUGUUGCUGAAGCAAAACAUUGCUUGUGUGGAAUGUAGAGAAUGUCUUCUCUAACAUGUCAGCAUCAGCGAUAGUCUCUCCACACAGUUUCAACUUUGAGACUAUCUUGAAUAGAGCCGAGUUAUACUCAUCCACAGACUUAAAGUCUUGGAUCCUUAGGUUCCUCAAAUCAUAUAGGGCCUUUGGUAAGAGCACCGUCCUCUGAUGAUCAUAUCUGGAUUUCAGUUCUGUCCAAAGUUCGAGAGGAUUCUCAAAAGUGAGGUAUUGGUCUUUGAGACUUUCAGCAAGGUGAUGGCGUAUGAUUAAGAUCGCAUUGUAUCUAUCCUUCUCAGAUGACUCAUUGCCAUCAGUGAUACAAGCACCAAGGUUUUUGGAUUUCAAGAUGAUCUUGGUGUCAAGUGCCCAUUGAAGGUAAUUGUCUCCGGAGAGAUUGAGGGCAGCAUACUCAAGAUUGUUGAUUUUCGACAUCUGAAUCAAAUAAUCCAUAAAGGGAUAAGGAUUCAUAAUAUGAUGAUCAAUGGGAAUUUUGAAUGUUUGAAAUGUUUUUAUAUUUUUCAAUCAUCACUAAUAAAAUUCAAUCAUCAAAAUCGAUUUCAAGGUUGGUUUUAAUAAUAACUAUGUGAUCAAAUGAUAACUUUAUAAUCAAAUGUUUUCAAAACAAGUAUUUAAAAUUUAUUAUAUGAUAUACUAAUUUUAAAAACUGAUUAUAGUUUAUAAUAUUUGAAAUAAAUAUUGACUUUAGUCAAAGAUUUUCAUUUAAACAAUCAUAACAGUUUUUCAAAAAAAAAAUUCAGUUUUCAAAAUCACACAUCAAUGGUCAAAGAUUUUUAUUUAAACAAUCAUAAAAGUUUUUCAAAAUUUUUUUUUCAGUUUUCAAAAUCACACAUCAAUGGUCAAAGAUUUUCAUUUAAACAAUCAUAAAAGUUUUUCAAAAAAAAAUUUCAGUUUUCAAAAUCAGACAUCAAUGGUCAAAGAUUUUCAUUUAUGGGUUAAUAUUUCAUUUAUUCUGAUUUUGACUAAUCACAAAGGAUCAAAAACAAUUUUGGCUUUAGGGUGAUCAUGAUUGUUUAUUUAUUUAUUAUUUUAUUUUUUUUUGAAUUUUGGAUAUUGGAUUUUGCUGGUUGUGAAAUCAAACAAGAGAAAAAGUUUGAUGUGUGUAAUGGCCGAUUUUAUUUGGCAAACAUCACAUCAGUUUGGAUUGAGGAUUUUGAUGGGGUUUUUGAUUUGGCCAGAUUAUACAUUCAUGAUUUCACAUCUAGUAAUUAGGCCAAUCAAAAGAUUGAAUCAUGAGGGUUUUUUUUUUUUAAUCUUUCAUCAAAUCCGGAAACAUGGAUGACAAAAGGAGAGAGGAGCAGCCGAUUUUAUGAAUGGCUUUUAGCUAAGGGGAUUUGCAAUCUUUCAAUAAUUUUGUUUAUGAUUCAAAAGGUUCUUAGAAUCAUGAUUCAUAUAGAUCAUGGAUUCAAGAUUAAUAUUUGAGAUGAUUUUAGAUCUACAGAUUUUUCUCUUUUAUAAUAUCUAUAAAUUUCUAUAGUUUUAUAAGUUUUAGGAUUCAUAUAAAAUUCAGAUUCAUAUAGAUCUUUAUAAUCAAAAUUCAGAUAUGUGGUGUUCUUAGAUUUUAGGGUUAGAUUAUUUUACCUUUUCACCACAAGGAUUCUUAAUGAACGACCUUAAGAGAGAGAGAGGAAGAUGAUCCGCGGAUAGUGGAGAGAGGUGGAGAAGUGGCCGGUGUGGGGCUGGCCGGAGGAGAGGAGGUCGCCGACGGAGAGCUUGCUCAGAUGGAGAGAGCUUCGUGCUGAUAAUGUGUUAAGAUUUGAGAGAAGGUUUAUGAGAAUGUGUUGUAUAUUUCUUAUUGCUUACACCACUAUAUAUAGUGGUUCAUACAAGGUGGAGUCAAAGGGAGAAUUGAUUAUAAAGAUACUCUACAUAAUGACAUAGUCAAACUCAUAAAGACUAAGGUUGAAUGGGUCUUCCAUGUGGCUGGAUGUAAACCUCCAAUGGACUCUAGUCUUGAACUUGUAUGGUCUAGGUUAUGGACCUUCCACUUCAUCAUUCAUAACAUCAUCGACCUUUUUAGAGUUUUUUCAAUUGUUAUCACCACGUGAUAUUAUUUGGGGUUUCUGUAACAAUUUUCCCAAAAUUCAGGAAAAUCACUAACCCUACUCUUGUCUAAACCACUCUUUUCUAAUCCUCUUCGAUCGAAUCAUGGUCUUCCUUGUGUAUACUCCAACGGAACAUAAAUCUCAUUUGAUUUAUGUAAUGUCUGACCGCCCACGACUAAUAGACUAUUCAACCACGCUCUUUCAUUCGGUUUUUGGCCUCCAUCCCGUCCAAUGAACUAUGUGUUAAUUUUUUGAAAGCGCGAUAUUAUUGUAUUUUUAUUCUGUAAUCACCACAUUAUUUUUUCGUGCUUUGGCCUCACUUACACGAGAAUUAUUUUCCAAUAGUUCAUCUAUUCUUUCACUAUUCCGGUUCAAACUCAUUUAGUUCUAGAGUUCUAAAUAGAUGUGUACCAAAAAAGAUAAACGCACUUUGGUGAUAUAUAUAGCCAAAUCAAUUUUUUAAGCUUUUUAUUAUACUAGGGGCUGGCCCGCCCUACGGGCGGGUAAGUUUACAACAAAAUUAUUUUAUGUUAAAAUAUAUUUAUAUUUUAUAAAUCAUUUGAAAAAAUUACUCUAAAUUGAAUAUAAUAAAUAUUUUUUUUCUAAGAUCAUCUUAUAAAUUAAUUAUUUUUUGAAGAUUAUAUUUAUUUUGUUAACAUUUUUGACCUUUGUUUAUAAUUUUUAUGUAUCUGAAUUUUUAUUUGUUAUCAAAUAAUGGAAAUACAUUUUCAUUGUACUAUUUUGUUUUCAAUAUUCAUUUUCAUUUAUAUUUUAAUGGAUAUACGUUUUCUUUUUGCAUUUUCAUGAGAUUAUAUAUGUAGUAAUUUAUUAUAUUUUCUCAAUUGUCUGUUAAAGUUUUAUGCCUGAUUGUGGUAUAUCUGAAUGUAUUUAACCCGUGAUUAUGAGUGUGUGUGUUUCUGUUUUUAUUCAAAACUUUCCUUAACUAAAUAUUAUUUGUGUUUGACUAAUCGAGAAUUAUUUGCUUCACGCGGGGUUUCUAACUUUGUGUUAUUGAGUUUGUGAGAUUAAGCUUUGAAUGAUAACGUCGAAAACUACGUCAUACCGAAAUUAAUAAUAAAAAAUAUCCAUAUUAUAUAUACACACGUUUUGUUACUAUUCGGAUUCUAAUAUGCAGAGAACACACAAAGAUGUCAGCAUAUACAUAAUUCCAACCAUCUUCUUCUAUGUUAUAAAUAAUAAUUAGGAACGCGCAAGAACAAAGGGUUGCAGGUUAGUUUGCAAAAUAACAAAGGGUUGCAGGUUCCUUAUAAAAUUUAGGCGACGUACGCAUGUUAUUUUGUGAAGAUCAUAUGUAAGCCGAGUUAAAAGAAGCAAAGUUUGAUGCUUCAGAGUAUGGGAUAAAAACGCUAAGAGAGUUUUUAAUAGGGAACAUAACGAACGCGAAAGUUAAUCACCGAAUGCUUUGAUCAUUGAUAAAGAUUAUAAGUGACGGAAGUAAGGUUUCGAUGGUUGGGUUAAGAGAGGGUUGAAUUGUUGUUUUUAAUGAACAUUACUAAUUUAAGGUAAACACAGGCACAGCUGCUACCAAUUGAUGGGAAACUGUUGUAGUAAAUAACUAAAUAUUAACAACAACGAAUAUUGGGAGUAGUUGGACUUAGAGUACGAUCAGAGACGUUGGCCACCCAACUGCUAUGGCACUGGUUCUAAAAUCCAGUUUACUUUUUCUGUUUUUUUUUUCUUUUUUUUUUGUAAUUUAACUCCAGUUUACUUACAUCCCAAGUGUAGACACGAAGUCGGAAACUUUUACCUGAUAUUAUUUUCAGAUAUCAUGGGGAAACCUACAGAAUCAAAGUAUGUUAAUGGAGGUUCUUGGCUUGAUUUUUGAGUAAAAAUGAUGCGGGUCCUCUAGGAAAAAUGAGUAGCAGUAAGUGAGAAGAGAGUAAUGUCUAAGUCUUUAUCGUUUAGUAAGUGAGAAGAGAGUAAUCUCUAGUCUAGUCUUUGUCGUUCUAAAAGAAUCUAGAGUCUUACAUUAAAGAAAAAUAGAGUUAGGCUACGAAGAGACUUGAUUUCCUUUAUAUGUACGACUGAAGUAUGAGUGGUAUGAUUCUUGUGGGAACCGAAAUUCGCACUGUCGAUUUCCGUUUAAAUUAGGAAACUAGGAAAUCCCUAAUUUCCCAGAGGUCCCGGAUAUCUGCUAAUACCACACGCCAAGCAAUCAGAACACAAAGAUAACAACGAUAAAGAAUAAGAAAUCGAAAAGAGAGCAAAGUAGAUCUUAUUCCGAAUUCGCGUUUGAGCGUUACAACAAGGUAAGAGCCUGGGCUACGAGAGCUGUCGGCGAGAUUCCUAGUAUUAAAACCCAUAAGACGGCAAUAACCUAGUUGAGUCGCAGCUCGAAUAACAAAAACAGAAAUAUGCCUAAUUGCUCUAAGUGCUAAGUUUUCUCUGAGGAAGUCCUUUUUUCAUGCUUCUCGCCUAGGACUCCUUAUAUACUGGCUCCUAGGUCGUUUGUGCUUUUCCUAUUCUGCCCUUAAGCCGCCAUAGCGUAAAAAUGAAGAUAUUUCAUUUUUUUCCGAUCUUCGUAAUUAUCUUCAAAAUUUCGUAUUUAUCCGCGGAAACUUGACAUUUAUCUUUCCUUGCGAGCCAAGCGUAAACCGUCAUGCGGCUUACGGGCUGUUAGUUAAGAAAUCGUAAGCUGGGCCUCGAGUCAUGUCUUAGGUCCCUUUGGGCCGUCUUCUGACUCGAAAAUUUAUUACGGCUUCUUUCAAUAAAGAACGAAUUUUUCGCGGUUUUUACCGUAAAGUUUGAUCGAUGACUUAGAAUGGCGGGAAACAUGAAAUGGGUUCGCUAUGGUUUUCGGGAGAUAGCAUCGAAGGGUAGACGAGAAUGCAUGGACUAAUUGUCGUAUCGAAGUUUCGGAAGAGGUCGGUCGCUACGUAGCGACCGAGCGGUACGAAUGCUCGGUCGCUACGUAGCGACCGAGCUUCGGCUCGAGCUCGGUCGCUAUGUAGCGACCGAGCAGAAUACGCGUUCAGUCAUUGCGUAGCGACCUUUUUCGAGCUCUUGUCCACUGUCUCGUGUUUCCUCCGCAAAGCUUUUCGUAAGAAAGAAUCUAUUUCGAGAAAGUAUUCGUCGAAGAAAGUACUCAUUUUCUUCUUCGGACGUUUUGAAUGUUAACUUCGUCGUAACAGUUUUUAACCCCAACAGUUAGCCCCCCAGCUCGUUAGAGUCGAGACUCUUGCGCGCGGUUUGACGAUUUUGCAAAGUUAGGCGUAUUGGACGAAGUUUACUUAAAACUCCGCAGAAGAAAAUUCCUUAGAAAGUAUAUAUUAAAAAUAUAAAAUUCUGAGCCCAUACUUCUAUAAGUAGUGAGCUCUUGUCAUUCAUUUGCUUCACACCUUCCCUUCUUCAAACCUCCGAAACCUCUCUAGCUCCAAAUCUUUUGCCUUCAACAUGUCUUCUUCCCACGGCGACAAGAGAAGUUCCAAUGUUGAGAUGGGCGAGGCCACCUCUCCGGCUCCGAUUCCGACUUAUCCGGUCGAAGCGCCGGCUUGCGUUGCUGACCAUCUCUCCUUUCGAGAGAGACUAGUUCGUCGCAAAGCCGAGAAGGAAUAGGUUCGAGCUGGCGCCGAGUUCCCAUCCUCUUCUGCACUGGCCAUUGCUCCGGGUCACGGGACCGAGGUCGUAACUCUGCGAGACGCGGGAACUCUCACAGGCUUGGGCGUUUCGGAUGUUUCGGCGCUACCUGUCGGAUCGUCCACGACUCCAAUUCUCGUCGAGGAUAAGGAGAGGGCUGCUGACUCUAUGCCUCCUCCUCCGGCAAGGAAAGAGAUUGUUCUAGCGCUGCACGCUCCUAUUUUUGUUCCGAUUGCUCAGCCUAAGGGCCGAAAGAGGAAUUUUACCAAGGGCGGUGACGGGGAAUCUCCGCAGUAAGGAGGCUCGAGCAUAGCGUCGGGGCUUCGCGUAAAGGUUUGUCGCUAACAUAAUCUCUUGAUCGUUAUAUAUUUUUCUAAAAGACAAAAAAUCCCUAACUUUCUUCUCGUUUCGCAGUUCAUGUUGUUAAUCGAUGGGAUGAUCAGCGAGUGCGGUUCUGAGACCAGUCAUCAUGCCGGGGAGUUGUUGGAGCUGCAGGGUAGGUGGUCUGAAACCGAGGCCAUGCUGACGCCUGUCAAGGAUUCUCACUCCGUGAAGGUGUCGAAACUCGAGGUCGCGAUAGGUGAGCUCGAGAGGGACCUCGGGAAGACGGCGAGUUCAUUGCUUAAGGAAAAGAAAGCCAGGAAGGCCAAAUCUUCGGAGGUACGUUGGCUUCAGUGUCAGAUCGAGGGCGAUGCAGGAUUAGCGAGCAGCGGGAUCCGAGAGGCCACAGACGCUCUUNNNNNNNNNNNNNNNNNNNNNNNNNNNNNNNNNNCUCUUCGUUCUGAGUUUCAGGCUCGCUUGGCGAAGAUCUCUUCCUUUCUGGGCUCCCUCGAGUGCAUCCAGAACAGGGAUUGAGGGCGGGGUGGCCGUGGUUCAGUCGUUCCAGAGUGAGACUCCUCUGACCUUAGAGGCCGAAGAGGCCGGACUGUCCGGCUGCAAGGGAGAUUUGGCAGUCCUGGAUGGAGAUUUCGAUCUCAUCCUAGCUGACCUGAAAUCCGCGUGCUUUCUUCCGACGUGUUCAGAAGGCUCAGAGGGGAAAGAUCCGGUGCUCGGAGAAAGCGGAGGUGACGCAGCUCCAGGCUUGGACGAAGCGACAGGUGAAGAGGGAGCGUGAAUUCUGGGGAUGACUUUGGCUAGAUCUCUUGAGAGAGAUUUUUUUUAAUGUUUGAUGUUUCGGCCUUAAAUAGCCUUAUUUCAUAUUUCGGGACUGCCGUAUGUGGCUUUGAAUCUCUGCCGCUCUGCGGCUUUCUUUUUAUGACAAAGUGAUCGAGUUGCAUUUUUCAUAAGUUUACGUAUGGCGUGGAAGGAGGGUGAUGAGUUGUCGUCUCAUAUCCUUCUUCGAUGUGAAAUGUUUUGUUCGAGAUCCGUUUCGAGAGUUUUUCCGCGAGAUAUAGACUUUGCGGGAUAUCUGAAGAUAUCGAAUAUAAACAUAAAGGCAUGGUUUUGGGAUCUCGUAUCUGUUGGAUAUCAUGCCUUGAGAUGUUAGAGACCAGUGCGCUGGGUUUAGGGCAAGACCUAGGUUUACUUUCAUUUUUAAGAUUUUAUGCGGUGACUAGCCGGCUAUCGAUUUAUCUGUCGCGAUUUUAACCUGAUUCGUACCGAUUUAAAGUCCGCGAUAGGUUCUCGACUUAUAUGACUUGUUAGAUAUGAAUCGAGCAUCUCUCCGUAGAUAAUUUUUAAGCCAACCGGAAGUGCUGGACCAAAAUUUCAGUUUUUUUUAUAGCGCUAUUCUCCUUGUGUCGGAUGUACGAGAGUCAUCUUCGUGAGAUGGCUAUGUCUGUUUAGGACGUUCAAGAGUUCGAUGUGAUCAGCACCGGACUUGGUGGCAGAUGCCGUCGUUUAGAGUUUUUGCGCAAAAUAUGUGUUAAAAUGUUCAUUUUUUUACGGAUUGUCCGUUUUCGUUGUUCGUAAGAAGUAACUCUCGAGGCAUCUCUCGCGAUGCCAAAGGCUGCUUCUCCAUAAUGGCUGAUUUAUUUCCGAAUAUUGAAAAUGUUUUGCGAAUAAAAAAUAAUUUGCUUGGUUAAGAUAUGUCGGAAACAUCGAAGGCGUGGCCGGAUGUUUUCGAAUUUGAGAGUAUACGAGUAUACGUAUCCCCCCCCCCCCCCCUUUUUGAUGAGGGGGGUCAGCUGAAUUUGCCUUUCGACAAAUUGCCUACGUACUCCUUAUGGAGAUCAAGCCGUCUCGUAGUUCGGUCAUUGCGAGUUGGUUUGUUUAGUGAUAGUAUUUUUUGAGAUGCAUUGCGUUCCAGGUCCUCGGAAUUUUUAUGCCUUGCAUGUUGGCUAUUUCGUAGGAGCCCGGUUGGACCAAUUUUGUCGAUUUUAUAGGGUCCUUCCCAGUUUGCUCCAAGUUUUCCCGCGUUUCGUUCAGCGGUGUUUAGGAAGACUUUAUGAAGGACCAGAUCUCCUUGAUUAAAUCUGCGAUUCCGUACGUUGGAAUUAUAGUACUUUGCGGCUGCGUGUUGGUAAUUUUGGAUUCGGAUGAGCGCUCGAUCUCGGCGCUCGUUAAUGAGAUCGAGAUCAUCCAGGAGCAUGGCGUUAUUAAGCUUCUCUCGUUCGGGAAGUAAUCUUCUUCAAACACCGGGGAACUCUACUUCGGCGGGAAUCAUGCAUUCCGUUCCGUACACCAGAGCGAAAGGGGUUUCUCCCGUUGCUCGCCUCGGGGUGGUACGGUGGGACCAGAGGACUCCCUUAAGUUCGUCGGCCCACCUGCCUUUUUUGGCCUCUAAGCGUUUCUUCAGCCCGUCGCGAAUGGUUUUAUUAAUCGUUUCGGCUUGUCUGUUACACUGCGGAUACCUGGGCGUCGACUUGUUAAGUCUUAUCUUCCAUUUUUCGCAGAACGCCUUGAACUGGGUGGAGAUAAACUGUGAUCCGUUAUUUAUGAGCUCGUAAGGAACUCCAUGCCUACAGAUGAUGUUUCUCCAUACGAAACUUUCGACUUGGACAUCUUUUAUACUCGCGUACGAAUCUGCCUCUACCCAUUUUGAAAAGAAAUCGGUGAGGACUAAAAGGAAACGCUUUUGCUUUGAAUUAUGAAGGGGUCCGACGAUAUCCAUGGCUUAGCACAUAAAGGGAUAAGGCAAUGUGAUGGAGGAGAGAACUUCGGCUGGUUGUCGGAUGGUUGGAGCAUGCCUCUGGCAUUUUUUCGCAUUUUCAUACGAACUUCUCGCAAUCUCCGAUCAUCGUCGGCCAGUAGUAUCCAUGGCGUUUGAUUUUCACUGCCAGCGAUCUUCCACCGGAAUGGUUGCCGCAGGACCCAGAAUGUACUUCCUCCAUCACCUUUCUCGCUUUUUCCCCUUCCAGGCACGUCAUGAGUGGUCCGGAGAAUCUCCAUUUGUAAAUUUCGCCGUCCACUGUUACGUAGCGCGCGGCAUGUGUUCGGACUUUGCGGGCUGCCCAUUUCUCGGUGGGCAGGUGUCCGUUGAUAAUGUAGUCUCGAAUUGUCUGCAGUCAUGGCGUAUCGCAGCCGUAAUCAGAUUGCUCCGAUUGCGUUUGUAUCGUAACUUCUUCUUCCUCGUCAUCUUGACCUUCUACGAGGUUGACGACGAAUGGUGGUCCGAUGCUUGGAUGUUCGAUGAACUCGACCGGAAUUACUCUUUUAAGUCCUGGGUCAGAACUUGAUGCUAAGGUCGCGAGAGCAUCUGCCUGGACGUUUACGCAACGGGGAAUUUGUGUAAGGGCAAAACAGUCAACCUCCUGAGCUAGGGUUUGAACCAGUUUGAGGUACGCGUCCAUCCGUUCGUCCCUGGCUUCAUACUCUCCGCUGAACUGACUUGCCACUAACUGGAAGUUGCAGUAAGCGUGUAUGUUUCGUAUCUUCAAACCGUGAGCCAAACGCAGCCCUGCGAUGAGUGCUUCGUAUUCGGCCUCGUUGUUUGAGGCGUGGAUUUCCAGCCUGAAUGAUUGCUCUAAGAUUUCGCUCGUCGGAGAUGUGAGGCGAAUUCCGAUGCAUGAUCCCUGCUUGGAUGAGGAUCCGUCAACGUGCAGAAGCCAGGUGGAAUUUGGUUCCUCAUUUGUUAUGGUCCCUGUCGGUAGUUCGACCAAGAAGUCUGCAAGCACUUGUGAUUUUGCGCUUGUUCUCGGUCGGUACUCGAUAUCGUACUCGCUCAAUUCGACCGCCCAUUUGGCCAAUCGGCCCGAUUGACUCGGAUUAUGCAGAAUCGUCCGCAGGGGAAAAGUCGUGAGGAUGACGAUCGUGUGGGAUUGGAAAUAUAGUCUUAGUUUUCGGGCCGAUGUUACGACCGCGCAUGCUAAUUUUUCCAUUAGCGGGUACCUAGAUUCGGCAUCCAGCAAGGUUUUGCUUAUAUAGAAAAUAGGUUUCUGUUCGCCGCGUUCUUCCCUGCUCAGGACGCCGCUCACAGCUGUUGCCGACACGGCGAUGUACAAGAACAAAGGUUCCCCCUCCACGGGUUUUGCGGGGACUAGAGGGGAAGCUAAAUACCGCUUCAGCUGUUGGAAAGCGUUUUCGCAUUCUUCCGACCAUUCGAAUUUUUUAUUUCCCCGUAAGACAUCGUAGAAGGGCAGGCACUUGUCCGUUGAUCGUGAAAUAAAUCGGUUAAGUGUCGCGAUCCUACCGGUUAGCCUUUGGAACUCCCACUUAUUCUUCGGUGAAGCCAUCUCGAUCAGUGUGCGUUGAUCUGUUUUGGAUUAGCUUCGAUGCCGCGGAAUGUGACUAGGUAGCCGAGGAAUUCCCCUGACGCCACGGCAAACCUGCAUUUUGUCGGGUUGAGCUUCAUGUUAUUGGAAUUUAACUGCGCGAAACAUUCCUCCAGAUGUGAUACGUGAUCCUUUGCUUGGAGGGAUUUGACGAGCAUGUCGUCGAUAUAAACCUCCAUCGUUUAACCGAGUUGUUAGGAGAACAUACGGUUCAUGAGUCGUUAGUAAGUUGCACCAGCGUUUUAGAGGCCGAAGGGCAUUACCCUGUAGCAAUAGGUUCCGCGAUCGGUAAUGAAAGCAGUCUUCUCGUAAUCGUCAGGGUUCAUCAUAAUUUGAUUGUAACCUGAGAAGGCGUCCAUGAAAGACAGAAGUUCGUUGCCCGCCGUUGCUUCUACAAGUCGAUCGAUGUGUGGCAGAGGGAAACUAUCUUUUGGACAGGCAUUGUUUAGGUCGGUAAAAUCCACGCAAACUCGCCAUUUCCCAUUUUUCUUUUUGACUACCACAGGGUUAGCGAGCCAGUCUGGAUACCUCACUUCCGUUAUUGACUCGACUCUAAGCAAUUUUUCGACCUCGUUGUUUACCGCGGAAGCCCGUUCGGGUCCUAGCUUCCGCCUUUUUUGUUUGACGGGUUUGAAGGUCGGAUCGAUAUUUAAUUCAUGACACGUUAUGUUAAUGUCGAUCUCUGGCAUAUCUUCCGCGGCCCAUGCGAAAUUAUUGAGGUUCUUUUUUAGACAGGUUAUGAGCUCUGUCCUCAAAGGCUCGCAGAGAUUGGCUCCGAUCUCGACGCAUCGUUCCGGAGAUGCUUCGUCGAGACAGACCGUGACCACAGGUUCGCAAGUUGGUUCGCGUUUUUCCUCUAGGGCUGUGAUGUUACGAGACUGCCAGAAGAGUUCCGCCGAAUCUUGACUUUGCGGAUCCUUGUUGGAGACCUUUUUCUCCGCUUUUCUAGGAGUGGUCUUGAGGUCUGGUAUUUUUCAUUUUUGUUCUGCGGCGUAACACACCUGUGAUACUCUUGGGUUUCCCCAUAUUACCUCGACUCUGUUAGGGGUUGGGAACUUGAGGCAAAUAUGGUACGUUGAUGGGAUGGCACGCAUGGUGUUCAACCAUGGCGUUCCCAUGAUAACGUUGUAAGAUUCGGGACGGUCAAUGACUAGAAACUCUGUGACUCUUGUCACGGUUCUGGCUUUGACCGCAAGAUUAAUCGACCCGUAGGCCACUGUUGUUUCUACCGAAAGUCCCAGUAGCGGGCUAGGGUAUUUCACGAUUUCGGAUUGAUCGAUUCCCAUUUUUUCGAGAGUAUCCUUGAAGAUGAUAUCGGCCGAACUUCCGGUGUCGAUUAGCACCCUAGCGACGUCGACAUCUCGGAUUGUCAGCUCGAUAACAAGGAGGUUGUUUCGAGGUUUGGCUUGAUCGACUGUUGCUCCCCCCUAGAACGAGAUGACAUUCGCGCACGUCGAGUCUUGCAUAUCGUUCCUGAUCGUUGAGUGGCUUUUGCGGGUUAGAUUGAUCCGUAGAGCCCCCUCCUUCUAGCGCCAAACUGUGGGAACCAAAAUUCACACUGUCGAUUUUCGUUUAAAUUAGGAAACUAGGAAAUCCUUAAUUUCCCAGAGGUCCCGGAUAUCUGCUAACACCACACGCCAAGCAAUAGGAACAAAAAAAAUAACGACGAUAAAGAAUAAGAAAUCGAAAACAGAGCAAAGUAGAUCUUAUUCCGAAUUCGCGUUUGAGCGUUACAACAAGGUAAGAGCCUGGGCUACGAGAGCUGUCGGCGAGAUUCCUAGUUUUAAAACCCUAAGACGGAAAUAACCUAGUUGAGUCGCAGCUCGAAUAACAAAAACAGAAAUAUGCCUAAUUGCUCUAAGUGCUAAGUUUUCUCUGAGGAAGUCCUUUUUCAUUCUUCUCGCCUAGGACUCCUUAUAUACUGGCUCCUAGGUUGGUUUGCGCUUUUCCUCUUCUGCCCUUAAGCCUUCAUAGCGUAAAAUUGGAAAUAUUCUAUUUUUUCCGAUCUUCGUAGUUAUCUUCAAAAUUUCGUAUUUAUCCGCGGAAACUUGACAUUUAUCUUUCCUUGCGAGCCAAGCGUAAACCGUCAUGCGGAUUACGGCUGUUAGUUAAGAAAUCGUAAGCUGGGCAUCGAGUCAUGUCUUAGGUCCCUUUGGGCCGUCUUCUGACUCGAAGUGUUUAUUACGGCUUCUUUCGAUAAAGAACGAACUUUCCGCGGUUUUUACCUUAAAGUUUGAUCGAUGACUUAGAAUGGCGGAAAACAUGAAAUGGGUUCGCUACGGUCUUCGGGAGAUAGUAUCGAAGGGUAGACGAGAAUGCAUGGACUAAUUGUCGUAAGCAAAAUACGCGUUCGGUCGUUGUAUAGCGACCUUUUUUGAGCUCUUGUCCGCUGUCUCGUGUUUCCUCCGCAAAGCUUUUCGUAAGAAAGAAUCUAUUUCGAGAAAGUAUUCGUCGAAGAAAGUUCUAUUUUCUUCUUCGGACGUUUUGAAUGUUAACUCCGUCGUAACCGUUUUUGACCCCAACAAUUCUCACUUCUCAGUAUGUUACAAUAGUUUUUUGUGCUAAGUGAUGAUUCUCAGUAUGUUACAGAAGUUUUUGUAUUAGGUGAUCGUCUUUUUGACUAAACAUGACGAAAAUAUAAUGUAAAUGGAUUUUUUAAUUUCGUUUUCAUAUCGAGUGUGGAUUUGGGUAAGAGUGCUUGCAUAUAGAUAGAUAUAUAUGUAAAAUUAACAACUCCAAAUGUUUACUAAGUAACCAAACCUAAAGGGAGAGAAAUCUUGAAUUAGAUGGUGGACUAACUGUCUUAACCCUUAUUUGGAAAACAUAAAGUGAGUUCAAUUAACUAAUGCAUGGGAGAAACCGAUGAAUAUGUUCCUGUAUAAUGCUCAAUGUAGGAAACUAAGUCCAGACUUUUUUGGAUUGGUUCCUUGGGUCUUGCUCCUCACCUUGUCCUUGAAGUUCAUCAAAGCACACAUUAGUAAAUCCUAAAUAAAAUGAAACAGUAUAGUAUAUGCUUAUAUUAUGGUCAGAUUACAAACCAUUGGAUGAGGAACCUCUACAGCCCUGAAUUUUGUCACCUUAGUCAUAGCUGCGUCAAAUGCUACAAUACAGCCGAAUCUUCAGCCGCUGCACCUUAUAAAACAUCAACGUUUCAAUUCAAAGAAAGUAGUGAGUUUCAAAUAAUUAAAGAACUUAUGUGAUAUUAAGAAGUUUAAGAUAUAUGCUUAAGGAGAGAACCUAAGAACAUUAAAAGCACUUGCGUUAGGCGCUAUAGUUUUCUGAAACACUUGGCACAUGAGAUGUAGCACCAUCUGUUUGUCGUUCCAAUAUAACUUUGGUUGUUUAUAGAAACUCAAUAACCUGCCUGUGAAUGAGGUACAUGGGUUUAAUAUUCCAAGUAUGAGAAAACUUGAGAAGGUGGUAAUUAAGAAAACAUACUUGUGGUGGUGACUCCAUAAAGUAGGUCGUCAACUACGCUAAUGAAACAGUCUCCAGCUCCUUGACACCACCUUACUAUGUCACACUGGUGAAGUCAGCACCGGCUGUGGCACACAAUCUGGAAGUGGGAUGAAAGCAGAACGUGAGGAAGAAGGUCCUAUGCUCCUAUGUGUGAACAUGUUCUAUCUAAUGCAUUACAUUUAAGGUUCUUCAUUAAAUAAACUCUAACUUGCCACCACAUAUUUGUCAAUAUCACAAACUUGAGGUACUUGAAGUAGAAUUAUGAGUCGUACAUGUCAAAGACUUCUUUCCCAGCUGCGGUCUCAGAGUGAAAGUAGAGAUGUGUGCCAGAAGUACCGUUCAAAAAUAAAUGGCUUGAGAAGAAACACGGAAAUUAAUAAGGGGUACUUAAGUACUAAACAUAUAGAAACUAACAUGCUUUUGACGAAUAUAUAUGUAUGUAGGCAACCAAAAUUCAGAAACACAAAACACGCAUACCCCCAACUAUCUUAGGAUUCACGCUUGUAGCAAUAACGACUCUCGGCUUUCUCCCAUAACUGUCUAAUUUGGUAUGGAACGCAAGAGCCAAGGAAUCAAACAUACUCACACAAACGUUUUCACCACUGCAGAGAGAGAACAACCAAAACUCAAUUCAACAGAUGUGAUAAAAGCUUCCUUAAUAACACAUGUCGUAUAUAAAAUGAAAUGAACCUGCGAAGACGCAAAGUUAGCAUGGCAAACGGAACCGAGAAAGGAGCAUCAGACACACAGAAGUUGGUGUUGCAAUAUACGACGUCAAAUCCAGUUAAGGUGUAGAGGGAGCCUUUGCUGAGACGUUCCCUGAACCUAAGCUGACGGUUCACACUGACAGUUCCUUGCGUUAGGUUGACUGUAAGGAAAAAGAAAAUAAAACGUUAAGACAAUGUUUUUGGGAAGGAACGUUAACGGUGUUAUACUUUACAGAAUCGGGAUGAAAUAAACUGUAAAACAGAUUCAUGGAAAAAAAGGCUUACAUUCUCAUCAACAAAGAGCAUGUCAACACUCAUCAGUUCACCUCAUUUCCUCAGAUUUCGUGCCUCCCAGAACCGCAACAAUCGAACCUCCGCAACGUUAGAGCACCGAAAAUUGAACAGAGUAAUCUUCUGGUUCUUCUCAAAGUUGUGAUAAUCAUGUGUGAAAGAGAAGGUAUUUAUAGCGGAAGUAACUUUCUGAAGCGAAGAGGCGGAUUGAAUGCUAAGAGGAGUGGAGCAAUCACCAAUUAACAGGGAGUAAAUAAGAGAAAGUGGAAAGAGGGUAACGGCCAUGGCAGCAACUUCAUCUUUCAAUUCGGAGAGGCGGCGACGGUGAGAAGAUGAGACCUAGAGAGAAGAGAUCCGGACAUGGAGUUGUUCUGUACUGACAUGGGUUUAGAAAUACAUAAUCACAUUUAGAAAAAAGUCCUAUUCGAAUGUAUUAACAAAUUAGAUAGCGACACUUGUCAUUAUUUCUCCCAAAGAGAGAAAAAACUCCACUUUAUUAGUAUUGAUAGAUACAAGAAUUUGAAAUGUUGCAUUUCAUUCACAAACACCGUGAAUGAAGAUGCUUUACACAUAUUCUGUUAAAAGCAACAAAACAAAAACGUCUCUAUCCCUAUUUUUAUUAUAAAGCAAAAUAACUUUAACCAAUAAAAUAUUAAAAGUUGCAAAUGGCUUCUAGAAAGAUUCAUGUGGGUAGAAUAAUAUGUGACAUAGAAUGCAAGAGAGAUUCAUAAGUGGGUAGAAUAAUAUGUGGCAUAGAACGAAGUGAUAAUUGAAAAGCCUACAGUCCCCUAAAAUCAUAAUAAACAUGUGCUUUGUCUACUGUAAACAAUAGGGAUAGGUGAACGGGUACCCGUCGGGUACCCGUUCGGGUUCGGAUCGGAUAUUUCAGAUUUUUGGGUAUUCUGGUAUAGAAGUGUAGAAUCCGUUCGGGUAUUUUUGAACUUCGGAUCGGGUUCGAGUAUUUUUAGUUCGGAUUCGGUUAUUUCGGAUCGGGUUCGGAUAUUUAGACUUUGAAAAAAUAUAUUAAAUUUUUUAUUUCUCAAAUUUCUUGUAUUUAAAAAUAUAACUUUCACUUAACUAAUUUUUUUUAUUUUUAAUAGAUUGAAUGGUUAAUAGAUUUGGACAUAACUUUUUAAAACUAAAAAAAACAUUAAUUGGGUUAUUGUUUUUAAAUUUUGGAUGUAAUUUUUUUGUUAAUUUUUGAAAUAAAAAGUUUGACAUGCAUUUUAAGUGAGUAGCAAAUCAUUUUCUCCGUAAUUGUAUGUAUAUCAUAUGAACUUAAAGUAUGUGUAGUAUCAAUAUAAAUAUUUUAUAUAAAAUGAGAGAUGUAAACUAGAAAUAGAAGGUUAAUUAUACAUACGUUCGGUUAUCUUCGGAUAUCCAUUCGGGUUCGGAUAUUACCGGUUCGGAUUCGGAUAUCCAAUCUCUUCUAAUUCAAUACCCGUUCGGAUAUUUUGCUAACUCGGUUCGGAUUUCGAUUCGAGUUUUUCGUAUCGGGUUCGGAUACGGCUUCGGAUAUCGGGUAAAGUGUCCACCCCUAGUAAACAUAACUAUAAACGGUGCGCACUUUGGUAAUAAUAGCCUUUAUUAUAUACCAGACUUGAAAUUUUCAAAGCAACCAAUCAAAAAGUAUUUUCUCUUCGUCUUUUUCCAUUAUCAUUUCUCAGUGUACAGAGAGAAUAAUCAUUCACAAUGGAGGCUUCUCAAGAACCUCACCUUCCAAACUACAUGAAAGACGACAACGUUAGCCAGGAAACCAAGAACUUGAUAUCUUCUCUUCCCUCAGACAAAGAUUUUAUGGGUUACAGUCUCUACAACUACAAAGGUUGUUGGUACUAUCCCAACACACUCCAAGCCGUUCUUGACGUCCAAGAGCAUUUCCAGCCACGAAAGAAUGACAUAAUCCUUGCUUCUUUGCCCAAAGGUGGUACCACUUGGCUCAAAUCUAUAGUCUUUGCCGUUUUACGUAGAGAAAAAUACCGCGAAAAUCCCGAAACACAUCCUUUGCUCUCACAAAACCCUCAUGACCUUGUCCCAUUUCUUGAGAUUGAGCUAUACGCUGGUAGCCAAACUCCUGAUCUCACAAAGUUUCCUUCUCCUAUGAUCUUUUCUACACACAUGCACUUGAAGACAUUGCUUGAAGCCACCACAAGGUCUUCUUCUUCCUCGCCUUGCAAAAUCGUGUACGUGUGUAGAGGUAUCAAAGACACGUUUGUCUCCGCUUGGCAUUAUAGGAACAAGUUGCAUCGCACGGAGAUGGAUCAAGCCAGUUUUGAGCUCAUGUUUGAUGCUUACUGUAGAGGAGUUCACUUAUACGGACCCUAUUGGGAGCACGUAUUGAGCUACUGGAAAGGGAGCUUAGAAGAUAAGGAGCAUGUCCUAUUUAUGAAGUAUGAAGAGAUCAUUGAGGACCCUCGUCUUCAAGUCCAGAGACUCGCUGAGUUCUUGAACUGUCCAUUCACCAAGGAGGAAGAAGAGAGUGGAUCGGUGGAGGAGAUCGUGAACUUGUGUAGUUUGCGUAAUUUGAGCAGUUUGGAGAUUAAUAAGAAUGGGACAAUAAGAGUUGGUGUAGAUACUAAUGUGUUUUUCAGGAAAGGUGAAAUUGGUGACUGGAAGAAUCAUCUCACUCCUCAAAUGGCGAAAACUAUAGACGAGAUUGUUGAGUCUAGACUGCGAGGUUCGGGUUUGAUAUUUCAAUAAAGUUGUGAUAUGCUCUGUUUCUUUACACAUUAAAUUUCAGCAAAUGAAGUUAUGUGUUAUGUUCUUGACUUGGAACUUUCAUGCGUGGUUCGGGUUUGGCAUUUCAAUAAGGUUGUGUUAUGUUGUUGUUUUAAAUUGAGCAGACAUAAAGGUUAAGUCUAAAGGCUAUUAUUACGGAUUGGCGACGUUAGAACAUGUUUAUCCCUCGGAUCCUUAAUGGAUUUAUUAAUGAUUAUUUAACUAUAUAAAUGUACAUUAGUGGACUUAAGAACUCUAUUAAGAAACUCUGCGAUUUUGUGCCUCCAUUGGUAGUUUCUUAAUUAAGGGUUCUUAAAAAAAAAAUUUAAGAAAAUUUUAUUUAUUAAAUAAAACAUAAAUAAAAAAACAUUUUCCACAUAGGAUUUAAAAUAAAAACAUAAAAACAAAGAUUACUAAAAUAAACGAGAAAAUUUAGAAAGAAACAUUCGAGCUCAGUUGUUGUCUUCAUUACGUCCAAAUUUACGCCAUAUAUGUUCAACCAAAUCAGCCUUCAGUUGUCGAUGUCUUUGUUUAUCAUGAAUAGUAGUUCGAACAUCCAUCAUAUUAGCGAUAUUUGAAGGCGUGAGAUCCACAUGUGAACUUCUGUUGUCUUCUCCUUGUUGGAACUCUGAAACAUCAAAAUGACGAUAUCCAUCUCGUUCGUCUUCUACUAUCAUAUUAUAGAGUAUGAUACUUGCUCUCAUAAUCUUCCCGAUUUUGGUUUUAUCCCAAAUACGUGCUGGAUUUUUAAUAAUGCCAAAUCGAGCUUGCAAGACACCAAAAGCACGUUCGACAUCUUUUCGGACACCUUCUUGAUGUUGAGCAAAUAAAGCCGCUUUCGGACCUUGCGGUAGUGAAAUAGAUUGGACAAAAGUUGCCCAUUUCGGAUAAAUACCAUCGGUGAGAUAGUAAGCCAAACGAUACUCGUUUCCAUUGACAGAGAAAGUAACUUGCGGAGCUUGACCGUUUAUUAUGUCGUCAAAAACUGGUGAGCGAUCAAGAACAUUGAUAUCAUUUAAGGUACCUGGAGGUCCAAAAAACGCAUGCCAUAUCCAUAGAUCGUACGAAGCAACCGCCUCUAAUACGAUUGUGGGUUUAGUCGAACCGCGUGAAUAUUACCCUUUCCAAGCGGUGGGACAAUUCUUCCACUCCCAAUGCAUACAAUAGAUGCUUCCCAUCAUCCCCGGAAAUCCACGUUGCUCAACAAUAUAGAGUAGACGUUCAAGAUCAGCCGGUGUUGGUCUUCGUAGGUACUCAUCGCCGAAUAGAUUUAUUAUUCCUUCGAAAAAAUGUUCGACACAUAACCGAGCAGUAGUUGCACCGAGUCGGAAGUAUUCGUCAACAGCGUCAGCCGCAGAACCAUAGGCCAAGACACGAAUGGCUGCUGUACACUUUUGAAGUGCAGAGAGACUACGCCUUCCGAGAGCAUCUUUCUUUUCUCGAAAGUAUUCAACUUCAUUAGAGAGUCGAUCAACAAUACGCAUGAACAAUGACUUGUUCAUUCUAAAUCGUCGUCGGAAUAGAUUUUCAGGAUAUGUUGGAUUUUCACUGAAAUAAUCAUUCCAUAAACGUUGAUCGCCUUCUUCCCGGUUUCUUUCUAUAUGAACCUGUUUUUUUUCUUCUUUUUCUUUCGACUUCUUGAUCACCAUAAUUAUUUGCUAAAUUCUCGAGUGUUUGAUCAAAAUAGUCAUCAAAAUAUUGAUCAAAAUAUUGAUCAAAACUUUCAUCAUCUUGAUCAAAAGUGUUAUGAGAAGAAGAAGCCAUUGGAUAAAUAUAGUUGAUCAAGGAGAAUUAUUUUUAAAUAAUUCGUAAAAGGAGUUGUGAUAAAAAAAAAAAAAAAAAGCGUUUGGUGAGAAUAGCUUUGAGAUGAUGAGAAAAGGAGAAUAGCUUUGUGAUGAUGAGAUGAGAAAGGUGAGAAGAAGUCUUGGUGAUUCCAAGCUCUGAAGAAGAGCGUUUGGUGAGAAGGUGAGAAGAAGUCUUGGUGAUUACAAUGGAUGGUGAAUGAAAUCUUUAUAUAGGGCAAAUGACUUGUAUAGAUUACAACAUCUCGUGACUUGUUCUCGUGUCACAUAAAUACAAACAUUAGUGAAAGACAUACAACCUUGUGACCACUUGUGACACAUACAUACAAACAUAAGUACAACACCCGUGACACAUACAUACAAGCUUGUUCUCUCUUUUGACAUUUUUUGCUUCUUCUUCUCAACAAUCUUGCGACCUCACCCGUGAUCAUCUUUGUCUCAUGACCUCUCAUCAUCAUCUUUGUCUCUCUGCACACAAAUAUAAAGACACAACAGAUGAAAGAUCACACCAGAAACAUGAAACAUAAGAGAAAUUUUAUAACACAACAACAAUUUUAUAGAAGAACAGAGAUUUUAUAACACAACAUAUCACAACAACUUGAAACAUACAUAGAGAAACAUGAAACAGAACAAGAAAACUAGAGGAAUAACAUAAGUUGAAACAUAGAGAAAUUAAACAUCUUCAAACACUCGAUUUAUUAGCUUCUGCUUUAGAGCUUCUUCAGCUUCAGAAAGUGGGUCUUUUUUGGAGAUGAGACUUUCAAGCAAACGUUGCUUCGAAAGUCUCUCUUUAACGAUCAAAUCUCUCUCUUUAAUAGACCACAUUGUCUGAAACUCAGCUGUUCCUUUCCCUUCCUGGUGAUCUCCUAUACUUCUCUUACCGCUUGCUGCUUUCGCCGCCUUAACACCAGGAGGUCGUUGCGUUGCUUGAUCACAGAGAGGGGAAGUUGUUCCAUUUGAUUGUGCUCCAUCACACUUUCUCUUCUUACUGCUUCCAGUAAUCUUGUGCGUUGCAGCUUCACACCAUUUCUGGUCAUGCCUCAACUCCUCCCAAGCAUGGUGAAGGUUAAAUUUUGUUUUAUGGUCGUUGGCAAAGAUGGUGUGUGCCAUUUUCACAAUAUCAGCCUCACUCUGACCACUUGUUUUCUGUCUUGUUGCAACCGCAUAGCAUCCAGAGAACUUGCAAACAAGAUCGUUAAUCUUCUGCCACCUUUGCUUACACUGAAUGGGCUCUAUCUUCUCACCCCUUUCCACCUUUGGACUUGCUGCAUAGUACUCUGCAAUGCGUUGCAAGAAAGCUCCUGCUUUCUGUUCUUUGCCCACCAAAGGGUCCUUACUCGUGUUUAGCCAGGCGCUAAUGAGGACUAGAUCAUCUGACACUGUCCAUUUCCUUCUUCCUCUCCGCUUUGUUGGUGACUCUUCACAGAAGCUAGAGGUUUCAGUAGGGAGUUGAGAUGAACCGUGCUCACCACCAUGUGAAAAACGUGCAUAAGGAAAGGUUUCAGGAAAGACAGUAUCUUGUUGACUGUUCAACAGCUCAACAAAAUUGGUAGAAUCCAUAUCCUGAUAUGUGAGAGAAGAGAGGAAGAAGAAGAAAUGUGUUUAUUGAUUAAAAGAAAGAGAGAAAUGUGAUGUUUUAAUACGAGAUAGGAGAGGAAGUUCGUGUUAGGUGGCUUUUAAUUAGCUUUACUCUUUGAUUUUAUUUGAGUUGAGGUGAUUAGACAAGUAUCUAACAAAUUUAUUAUCUAGCUCACAUCAGAGCAAUACUAUCUAACACAAGCAUUGAACACAACCAUUAAUCGCAAGCAUUCAUCACAACCAUAACCUAAAUCUAACCAGCAUUUAUUAAGCAGUCAACUAUGAAGUUUUGGACACUUACCUAACCGAGAGUCUCAAGUAGUGCUUCACACCCUUCCUCACCGGGCCAACACCUCCAAGAAAUAAGCUGUCUUUGGCUGCUCAUUCAGAUCUUUGCCUCCUCACAUGAUUCAUCAACGCAAACCAAAGCAAAUAAAAUUAUGUAAAUAAAUGAUUUCAAUGUAAACCAAACCAAAUCAGAAGAUGAUCUAUAGAGAACAAUACACAACAAUACAGAGCCAAACUUCCAAUCAUUUACCAGUUUGCGAGAUUAAGAACUAGCUAAUUUAAAUCUCAAUCUAAACUAACUAGUCUCAAUCUUUACCAGUUUCAAUCUCAAUCUAAACUAACUAGUCUCAAACGUUACCGGAUUCAAUCUGAACUAACUUAAUACCAAAAAUACUGAGCCAAAGUUCGAAACAUUUACCACUUCGGAAGUGAUCUCAAAGUUGAAGAGAUCGGUCUUCUGACGGAGAAGAAGAGAGAAGACGGCAUCGACGCCGUGAUGAAGACCGAGAGAGUCGAUUUCCGUGGUGGUCUCGUUCGGUCUUCUGACGGAGAAGUAGAGAGAAGACGGAAUCGCGGCUUUGAUGAGUACCGAGACACUCGUCGUCCGUGGUGGGUUCUUCUGCCGGAGAAGACGUGAAGCGACGGAGGAGACUUCGUCGGGACUGAGAGAAGACAGAGGAGACGCCGUAAGGACCGACACAGUCUUCGUCCUUGGUGGAUUUUGAUCCUUCUUCUGGCGGUGAAGACGAGAGAAGACGGAGGACGAAACAAGAGAAGACGUUCGAUCGGUGGUGGGUUUUGAUCCUUCUACUGCCGGCGAUGACGAGACCAUACGGAGGAGACGCCGUCUGGAUCGUGAUAGCCAUCGUCCUUGCUGGUGGAUUUCGAUCGGUUGUGGGUUUCGAUCGGUUGUGGUUUCGAUCGGUGGUUGUUUCGAUCGGCGACGGAGAAGACGAGAAGACGAGAACCACGACGGAGGAUUAGUGGUGGAGGCACGGUCGUGGGUUUGGAUCUUUCGUCGGUUCGCUCCUUCUUUGUUGACGGAGAAAACGAAGAGAGAUGAGAGAACGAAGUGAGAGGAGAGAAGAAAAAAAAACAGAAAAAAAAAUAGAAAAAAAAAAUACAUUUGCCUCUCGUGCUGACACGUGCCUCUAACACCUCCCUUAUUACCGAUCACAAAAAUCCCAAAGGAAGGAUCGAUAAUCUCCUUUUCCUUUUGUUUUGAUUUAAUUAAUUCACUUAUUUGGACUAAGGAUCCCAUUAAGAACUAGGGAUAAACAUGGUCUUAGGUCUCAGAACUACCUUCAACAUUCUAAGUCACCACUACCAUAUAGACAAAAAUGGUUGGAGUCAAUUUACUGCUAAGUUCUAAAUCUAAUAUUUGAUUCAAAAAAAUACUUGCCACUAAAAAAACAUCGAGAACUUUUUAUGUAAAAUAAUUUUAGGUAAAGUUUGAAGGAGGGUUUCGGUAAAAGUUGUACAGUAAAAAUUCUAUAAGAUAUUAAUGUUGGGACUAUGAUAUUCUAUUAACUAGGGGCAUUGCCUCCGUGCAAGCGCGGAAUUGUGUAAAGAGUUCUUGUUUCAUCUCAGUAUUUGUUAGAGUUAUUAUAGUUGUGAAUUUUGCGUUUUGGAUUGAUCAUUGUUUUUAAGUUUUUUAUUAUUAUAGGGUUAGAGUUGUGAUGAUGAACUGUGUAUGCACUUUUCUCCACUCAUUAAGGACUAAACUGUGUUAGUAUUGUGAUUAAUAUAGUUCCUGGUGUUUCUUGAUAUGUCAACUUAUUGUUUGUUUGUCUUUUAAUUUAUUACUUGUAUUGUUGAGAUUACAUAAAUUAUUUUAAAGUUGUUGAGAGUAUAUUUUGUUUUUGAAUAUUUUUUUCUCCAGUUUAGUUGUGUAAGUUAUGUGUAUUAAGUAAUAUUUUUUUAUCCUUAUUAUGUUGGUUAUAUGUUUUUUUUUAAACGUAUUGCUUUUACCGGACCUUUAAAACUAAUACAUGAAGACUUGCAGAAAUAACUAUAAAAUGAGUGACAAUUAGUAUUUGAGCCUUAAUGGGUUUUAAACGAAUAUAUGUAUUUCUCGUAAGAAGACAAUAGCAUUGGCUUGUUGACAUUGAGCAUGUAAGUUAUUUUCAUAAGACAAAAGGAGUGAGCAUGCGGAGAUGUUGUUGUCGCCUUUGUGUCUAUUGAGAUUGUCUCUUGUAUCUCCUGGUGUGGCUGUGUUUGUUUCUUUUUUAUUUGAUGGGUAAUAUGUAAACAAAAAUCAUUGAUAGUUGUAUUUUUCAGAGUUUGUAACUUAUUCUGCUUUUUUUGUUUAGGUAAUUUCACUAAUCUUGGUUGUCGUCUUCGUCUUCUUCGCAAGCAUCUGCGAAAGUAAGUUUGUAAAAUUUUAAAUAGCUGGCCGUGUAGUUUGUAUUUUUUUAGAUGCCCAAUGUAUGUGUCGUUGGGUUUUAGUUGAGUUGAUUGGUUUGAUAUAUUUUUUUUGAAGUUUAUUUCAAAGAUUAGAUAAAAAGAGAGGUGAUCAAUAAUGAUUCGUCUUUUUGGGGAUUCUAAUUUUUGGUGUUUUGAUUGUUUGAGUUAUUGUGGUUUCUUUUAGGCUGUAAAAAAAGAUUUGUGUAAAAUUAGACUGAUAAAUAAGGGAGAUAAAUAGACGACCACAAAUCUUGGGUAAGAAAUAUUUUUGAUUAUUGAUGUUAGCACAAUAUAGACAGUAAUCUAAAGGAAAUUAUGUGUUGAUUGUUUUUUUACGGAUCAAUGAGGAGACAGAUAACGACUAGAGUUGUUUCUUUGGUGAGGCCAGAGCCUUGGACAGAACGAAUUUUCUCAACCACAUCUACGAGUUUAAAUAUCAGUUAUGAUAUCGAAACAUAAUAUAAACCCAGAUGCAAUAUGAUAAUAUACCUUGGAGUUCUAGGUUUGUGUUCGCAAUCACUUGGAGAUUGUCGAACAGUCGAGAUUGAUCACAGGAGCACCCGUGAUGACUCCAUCAAUAAUGGUUAGUGAGAUGAAACGUAAGAGGAAUGAAUGAUCAGUUAUCUUGUACAUGUUUGAGCACCUAGUAACCUCAAAACGAUCGACUUUCACAAUGGAACCUGCUUUCAAAGAUGGCAUGUAAUGAUUAGCACGUCCGACGGGAGUAAAACCAUGAAUCACGAAAUCUGCAAAUAAUAUUAUUCAACAAAGAAUCAUUUAAAAUAAUUAUGUUAAAUAAAUGUGAUAGAUCGAAGAUUAACUUAUCUUUUCAUCAAGAAAGAGAACCGUGAUUUCCACAAACUCCCUAUCUUUCUUGAAGUUCAGGGAAUCCCAGAAGCGGAGGAAGCCAGAGGCUAUGCUCUGACUACUACGACCAAGACGGAGAGACUCGAAUGUUGAGUGACGGACGCCGGGACGCCGGUUUGAGGAACCGGAGAGGCAGAGAGAAACAUUUUCUAGAAGAUGGUUAAAGUUAAGAGAAAACAAUGAGUUUUGUGGAGAUGCAGAUUGGGUUCAUCAAAGAUGAGAAUCAUAUAUAUAUGGCUUACAGAGGGGCUACAAAUCAGGAACAUUUAUGAUCAGGAGAUUUAAGAUGGGGAGAUGAAGAGUUCACCGGUGAAAAAUAGAUUACGAACAGACACACAGCGCAACUCUGUAACUCAGACUUGUUUGAGAAAAUGAUGGAAAAAACUCAAAUUCAUGUUAAACGAAACAGUUUACAAUAUGAGAAAACUAUAAUUGUUGCAAGCUUGAGUUUUUUUUCAUAUAACGUGAUGAAUCCCAUUUAAAAAUGAAACCCAUAAUACACUUGUAGGCCCGACCCUCAGAGAAAGCCGAAAAAGCAAGGGCUUCCGACCUUCAUAAAUAUAUAUUAGGUUCGGUCAUCAAUGUGCAAAGUAUCAUUUAGCUUAGUGGUAUAAAUGUUAGUGUUUAAAUCCCAAUAACCUGGGUUCGAGCCAUGGACAUGACACUUUUUCACACUUUUUAAAAGUAGGACCCACAAAAUGCUGACGUGGCGCGCUGAGGAAUGAGCAAAAACUCAUCUAUUAUAAUAUAGAUUUAUAAAAAAAAUUCUUUUUUAUAAUUUUAUUUUUAAUAAAUAUUUUUUUUUUAAAUUAGAAUUUUUUAAUAGAGCGAGUAUAAAAUAUGUUUCAUAGAUGUUAAAUGUGACUUUAGAUGUAAUUUUACUAAAUCUUAUCGAAAUAUAUUAAACUAGGAUUGCCCGCCCUACGGGCGGGGUUUACUUUACUUGUAAACUCGAAUUUUAUUUUUUUUGUAUGAUUUGGUGGGUUGUGUUUUAGGUUUACAUUUACAAGAAAUGUGUAUAAUAGUGUUUAUUGUCUAGUAGGAAAUUUUAAGUGAUGAAUGACAUUAUAUCUAUUUACGUAAUGUUUGAUUGUUGUUUAUUUUUGUUUUUUGUACUAUUUGUUGUCAAAUAUGUUUUCAAAUAUGUUUUUUGACAUUAUAUUAUUUUUAGUUAUAUUUUUUUUUUGUUAUGUUAUAUAAUGAGAACACAUUUUAUAUCAUCUUUGCAUAUGUCUAACUAAAAUUAUUUAUUUUUAUUAUUAUUAUUAGAGAUUAUAAGGUUGUAUUAGCAUGAUAUCAUUUUCAUGAUUGAAAUGAUAUACUAAAAUUAUGUCUGUCCGACGUGGCGCAAGCAGGAAAGAGUUAUUAUUUUAUUUUAUUUUUUGUUAUGUUUUAUAAUGAGAACACAUUUUAUAUCAUCUUUGCAUAUGUCUAACUAAAAUUAUUUAUUAUUUAUUAUCAUUGUUAGAGGUUAUAAGGUUGUAUAAAUGAUAUGAUUUUCAUGUUUGAAAUGGUAUACAUUUGUUAAAUGUUUGCUCAAAUUUUCUAUAUAGAGUAAGUAUAUUCGAGUUUUUAUUGUUGUGGUUGGGUUUAGUACUCAAGACAUCGAUUAUUUAACAUUUUGUAUAUAUUGAAUGUACUUGUAUUUUUAAUAAAAUUUUAUUAUUCAGUUUUAGUGUAUAAUUAGUUGCUGUUUUACUUAUUCUAUUACUUCUUAUAUUGUUUUCAUUUGCUAUACCGAGUAAUACAUUAUUUUAAUUUUAAAUUUACUAUAAAUUUAUUAUGGGACAGAAAAAACAUAAUAUAAUAUAUGCAUUAGUUAAAAAAUUACUUGAAAUUCUUCGCUUGUUAAUGUGUUUUGAUGCUGAAAGAGAGCGAGAAUGAUUUCUUUCUUGAAGGGUAAGGCUAAUGAAAAAUAAAAUUUCCUUCUAUCUACUUCAUGCGUCUUUUAAUAUGUCAGCCUCCCCGCCCAUUUAAGUCGGAUGGGCUUGACCCGGAUGAUUCAAGUCGGGUGUUUUUCACCGCUCGCUACUGAAACCUAAACGCAACAUUUCAAUAGCACUAUUGAAUUUUUUUUUAGGGAAGAAGGGAAGAGAAGAGAAGAACAGAAGCAGCACCCUUGGGUCCCUCUCUCUCUAAUCAUCGUCUCUAUUUUCUCUUCGCUUGUGCAUCUCAAUCAGUUGGUAUACUUGGUUCCGUGUAGAAAAGUGUUUGUGAUAGAUAACCUCGAAGAAAAAAAGGUUUUCGGAGUUCAAGCGUAAGAUUUGAUUGAAUGGCUAUGCUCACUGAAAUCGCCACCCUUGAGGAGAAGUAUGUUUUGAUUUUUUUUUUCUCACCUUUUUUUGGUUGUGUCUAAUAUUUUGAAUUAAGACAGAAAAAAGUUGAGAUGUGAUAUUGUCUGAAACCUGACAUGGAAGUCGAUGAGCUCUUCCUUUUUCUCUUAUUUUGAUUUGGAUGAACGAAAUUAUAUACUCUUUUUGCAAUGAAUUUAGACAGCGCUUUGAUUCAGUGUUUUAAUUUGGUGUUCUUUGUCUGAAUAUCUGCCUUGUUCGCUGAUUAAGGAUCAGUUUUGAUUCUGUUAUAUAUUUUUUGCUCUAAGGAAUUAAAAAAUGAACGUUUUUUUUUUAAGUCUUCUUCUUUUACUUAGGGUUGAACAUAUCUGCUUCAGGGUGCUUUCUGGAUCAGGUUAAUUUUUUGAAUUCUAGUAAUUUGGUUUAGUCUUGGAUCAUAGAUCUCUUGAUUGAAGUUAAGUAGGAUUCUUAAUAAGCUACAAUGUGUUUAUCUUUAGUUUUAGGUAUAUCGAAUUGUGUAAGAAGCAUGGAACCGUACCCAACACUUCCAUUUUAUCUGCCUUCUUUGAGGUUUGCUUACCUUAUCCUUUUACAUAUGAUAUAUGUAUUGCUUCUGUUUCACUGUUACUCUGUGUUAACCUUACAAUUGAAUCCAAUCAAAUGAACUUUUCAGGCGAAGGAUAAAAAGUCAAGGAAUUAAAGAUGCACCAUGAACCUUUUAGUUGACAGAGUGAUAUACGAUGACUUUCACCCGCUACUUGAGUUAUGCAAUGAGAUCAACGCAUCUGAGGUAGAAGGAAUAGAUCUCUCUGUGAGAUCCUCUUGUUCUCUGGAAGAUCAGUACGUAUUGUCCUUGAUACGCUCUGUCAAUCAAAAACUUCAUCUUGUUGAUGUACACGAUUGUUUUGGGAAAACCUUAUGGCGGUAAGCAAUAGACUUUUGUCUUCUCCUUUUCUUUUUGCAUUAUUUCUUAAGCUUUGAUUGUUUUUUUUCAGGGAUGUCUUCUCUCAAGGCUUGAGCUGCGAAGUUUUGAAUGUGAGGUCUUUGCAUUUCCGUAAGCUUAACAUCGUUGGAGAGUUCGCACAGCUGCACACCCUUAUACUCGAUUCCAACCGUGUGACUGGUUUUGGUGAAAGCUUUUUUUCUUGCAUGCCGAACUUAACUUGUCUUUCGAUGUGCGACACUGUUGUCUCUGAGCUUUGGACAGCAAGCGCUGCUCUCUUGAAACUCCCUUCUCUUGAGGUGCUCUGGUUUCAGAUUUGGAUUUGUUGCAGUGAAUCUUCUAGCGGUGGUGGUGGUGGCUCUUCCGCCGCCCCACGACAGAGGAAUACUACCAGCAUCACGGCGGCCGCCGCGAUUGGAAUGCAGCCUGUAACGGUUCCGAUUUCCUUUCGCCGGCGAGAAGAAAGCCAGAUGAAUCGAGGCGAACGGCAGCUCGCACCAGAGGUUGGAUGUGAAUAUUCAUCUCCCAUAACUCUCUCCAAACUUCAUGGCCGGUGUAAGAAAUUAGAAGUUGAAGAACUCAUGUACCCUAGAUAUCGAUUCUAGAAGACGAAGACGAAAUCUAUUAAGAAAAUUAGCCCACUUAAAACGACCCGUUGACUUACUCUUUCUCAUGAUGGGCUUAACACAGAAACCGUGUUGAAUUAAAAGUCCAAACAAAUUUAAAACGUAAAUAAAUGAAACACAGAGUUUUGGUGAAGGGGACACGUGUCGCGCUGUCAGGAGCCGACGUAAUGAUGUGGCAUCCUACGUGGAUACCCCAGAAGUGAAGCAAACAUAUUUAUAUAUAUAUAGAUAGAUAGAUGUUAAGAAAAUAUGAAGAUAGUUCUAUGUGAAUAUAAAAUAAACAAUAUAAUGGAUUGUUUAUACAUGUAUAAAAUACAUAUACAAAUAAAUUAUUAAUUUAUAAUCUUAAUGGGACAUAUAUGAUAGGGGGUAAUCCAUGAAAAUCGACUGAAGCUUUGAUACCAUGAUAAAAUUUGUGAAUAAGAGAGAUUUGUAUCUUAGAAGAGCUUAUUGAGACAUAAAUGAAAGUGAUAAAACAUAGCUCAAAACAGCUUUAUUAUGCAGAAACAUAAAUAAAGAAGGAAGCUUUAGAUUGCCUUCAAGAUCAAAAUGAUUCUAAAUUGAUAUUCAUAAAUGAAGGGAAAACUAUCUUUACGGCAGCAAAGUUAAUACACAUCUAAACAUUCCACAAAUUUAUAGUAUCAAUCAUGAUAGAAAUAGAUAUUAUGGGCUGAUGGGCUUGGGCUUGUGCUCUAACAUUUACAUAGAAUUUUCUAACAAAUUAUUAUCUUAUUAUUUUAUUAUUUUACUGAUGUGUGUCAUAUUUUGAACUGACUCAACUUAGGACCGAAGAAAAUUAUUAAUAGAGCGAGUAUUAAAUUUACAGAGUUCUACUCUAAAUGAUUGUCAUAAAUAAAAAAAUUACAAUUUCGUAAGUGUUGUUUCACGACUUGGGUUGAGCGACCAACUAAGAACAUUUCUAACUUCUCACUAUAUUUAUUUCUAUAAUAAAAUUUAACAGUAGAUCUAUUCAUUCUUUUUUUGGAACGCCGGUAAAUCUAUUCUUAUCCACUUAUAUUUUUAUUCUAUUGUUAGAGUGCUAUUUUAGAAGAAUAUAUUAGAAUAAACUCUAUCUUCGUUAUAAAAUUUCACUAUUUUAAAAGAAAAAUAAUAAAAUACAUUGGAAAUGGUCUAAUUAAAGUUAAUUAGAUGAUAGAUCCCAAGUUUCAUACAAAAGAUUGUGAUCUAAAUAUACAAAGAAUCGAUCACUACGUAUUUAAAGAAAGAUCAGCGAACUAAAGAAUGUGGGAACUAUCUAUACUAUUAUUUGCGAAGUAAAUUUUCGCAAUCGAGCUCUCACGUUAAAAGUUAGAGUGGCCAAAGUCGAUGAUACCCUUUAAUGAAUUUUAUAUAUAAUUAAUUAUAUAAUUAAAAACGAAUUUUAUUAAUGAUAUAUUUUUAAAUAAGAUAAUUCUUAUAUAUUGUGUUGCUAUCUUAAAACAUAUUUUUCAAUUNNNNNNNNNNNNNNNNNNNNNNNNNNNNNNNNNNNNNNNNNNNNNNNNNNNNNNNNNNNNNNNNNNNNNNNNNNNNNNNNNNNNNNNNNNNNNNNNNNNNNNNNNNNNNNNNNNNNNNNNNNNNNNNNNNNNNNNNNNNNNNNNNNNNNNNNNNNNNNNNNNNNNNNNNNNNNNNNNNNNNNNNNNNNNNNNNNNNNNNNNNNNNNNNNNNNNNNNNNNNNNNNNNNNNNNNNNNNNNNNNNNNNNNNNNNNNNNNNNNNNNNNNNNNNNNNNNNNNNNNNNNNNNNNNNNNNNNNNNNNNNNNNNNNNNUAUUAAUCAUCUAAAAACAUUUUGUAUAAAGAUAUUUUCUAAAAUAUUUCUAAUAUGUGAAUGUUUUUUUAAAAAAUUUCAACACAACAAUAAAUAUAUAUAUUUUAAUGAUUUUUUUGUCAUAUAUAUAUAAAUAAUUUCAUGUUUGAUUUAAUUUUUUCUAAAACAUAAAUAAUAAGUUAUUAUACUGGUUUUUAAUUAAUAAAAUAUAAACCAAUAAUAUUUUUAAACGAUUAAGCCCGCACGUGCGGGCAAAACAUCUCGUUUAUAAUAAGUUCGCUGGCCCAAACAAGUGGAACUUAAGAAAAGUCUCGUCUAGUGGAAUAGGAUGGACGAACUUACAGAAAAGGAUGGACGGACUAGCAUAGAUGUGCGUUAAUGUUUGAUGAAAAUAUACAUGUCUGAUUUGGUAAAGAUUUUGAGCCCUCAUUUAUGUCAUAACUCAAAAGGUGCCUUGAAGAGAAGUUGGGAAGACGACCAUAACAAUCAAUCCAACAAUCUUUAACAGCCAUAACAUUCAACAAAAAAUACCAAUUUGGUAAAGUUUGGUAGUCUCAUAAAGAGAAUAUUAUAUCUUGCCAAAGCAAUUCAAAAUGAAAGAGAGAACAUAUAUGAAAACAUUUAUUCGAGGAUAAAAAAAGUUAUCUGCCGAGGGCAAUUGGUACAACGACAAAUAAAUAAAAACUAAAGUACAAUCCAAGUUUGGGUGAACCAACGAAAGCAUGUCCAAAUCCAAACAUACAUUAAACAGCAAAUACAUUCAAGAGGAGAGCUAAAGUAGAAAUCAGCGGUGGGAAUAGGGUAAAGACCCUGAGUAAGCAUACCGUGAUGUUAUUGAUGAAGGCGGAAGAAACUCAGAUUCAGCAAUGCUUGGGGGGUAUCUGCGAGAUGACGAUGAUCGGUAGUACUCAGCCAAUGAGUCCGGUGUAACAUAUCGUGAAUACAAGUCAUCGUCUUCUCUUCCCGAAGAAGGCAGGUAUGUCGUCCUAUGUAGUCUUUCGGGACUACGGUACUCGACUCUGUGAUACGGGUCUCUCAUGUAAGACUCCAAUGGUGGCUCUGGUGCCAGGCGCCUAGAGCUUAGGACGUGAUCAUACGAAGGGUGGUAGCUUCUCUCAGGCAAAAGAACUUCUCUACGGUCAUGAUGCCUCUCAAUCUCUGCUUGUCUCAAAAGCCGCUCAUGGUCCACCGCAGAUGGACGGUACGAGUCCAGACGGUAAGAAGAAUCAGGUGGCAGUACUGGAUAAUGCUGAGCUGGUUCUGCUCUUCUCAAGCCGUAUGUUCGGUACUCGCUUUCAGUGAGGUAUAGAUCAUGGGGUGGUUCUUCUCUGCGUGGUGGCUCUUCUCUGCGUGGAGGAGGUGCAGCAUUGCGACUCCUUACAUGACUUCUGCUGCUGCCAGGAGCAUAGCGGUCAUUGUCAGAUCUUUUCCUCUCAGCAGGACGAGGAACAGGGGCUGGCAGAGUGUGAGUCAAUUGAGCAG
rnacentral:lncRNA from 1 species